GGGGUCUUAGCUCAGUUGGGAGAGCGCCUGCAUGGCAUGCAGGAGGUCGCGGGUUCGAACCCCGCAUUCUCCACCA
rnacentral:tRNA from 1 species